UACAGAGGUCUCAAGCGUUGUUCGGAUUCAUUGGGCGUAAAGGGUGCGUAGGCGGCGCGGUAAGUCGGGUGUGAAAUCUCGGAGCUCAACUCCGAAAUUGCACUGGAUACUGCUCUGCUAGAGGGCUGGAGAGGAGAUUGGAAUUCACGGUGUAGCAGUGAAAUGCGUAGAUAUCGUGAGGAAGACCAGUGGCGAAGGCGGAUCUCUGGACAGCUCCUGACGCUGAGGCGCGAAGGCUAGGGGAGCAAACGGG
rnacentral:rRNA from 1 species